GCUAUCGGUUCUGGUCAAUUGUGUAUUCUGUGUCCAAAACGGACGUUGAUUAGAGAAGCUAAAAAUUGGCCGUCGAUUAAAGAAGCCAAAAAAUGGACGUCGAUUUGAUAAACAUAAAAUUGGCCGUCCAUUUGGAAGGAUAUUUUAUUGUGACUUCAGAUUUGGACGUCGAUUUGAGGAACGGACGUCGAUUAGAGACCGGA
rnacentral:lncRNA from 1 species